UACGUAGGGGGCGAGCGUUGUCCGGAGUUACUGGGCGUAAAGGGCACGUAGGCGGUCCUGUCAGUUUGGGGUAAAAGCUCCCGGCUCACCUGGGAGAGGGCCUCGAAGACGGUAGGACUUGAGAGCCAGAGAGGGACACAGAAUUCCGGGUGUAGUGGUGAAAUGCGUAGAUAUCCGGAGGAAUACCAAAGGCGAAGGCAGUGUCCUGGCGGGUUUCUGACGCUGAGGUGCGAAAGCCAGGGGAGCGAACGGG
rnacentral:rRNA from 1 species